AUCACGCCGCAAGGCUAACUCCUCUUCGGCUGCUGCUUGCUGCUUUGACAAAUUCUAGGCAACCAAGGAAUUUUGGACCAGCUGCACCUAUCCUGAAAUCCAUUAUUCAGUUACACUAGAAUACACAGCUAGAGUACCAAGAUGAUGCCUUCGAGAGACCGAGGAAAUGCGCAGGAUAACCGCCGCGCCGCCGCUGUCUCGUGCCCGCAGCGCAAGCUGCCUGUCCCGGCGAAUUUGUGCGGCCGCGCGUCGCCGCCGCCGCAGCGUGCGCAGGAUGCGCCUCCCCAGCCGCCGCGGCCGGCAGAGUCGGUGCAGCCAGACGGUGGUCCUACGCAAUCUGCAUCGCUGCCAACACCACAGGCACCGGUGCAGGAUGACGCUACCCCUAGCGCCACGGCCAGUAGCGGCGACGAGGGCAACGGCGACAGCGAGGGGAAGGAGUCCUUGGAGAAUCCCCUGGUGUCCAUGGAAUGCUUCAUCUUCCUGUAGCGCUAGUCAGCAGGUAACUACUCCACCGUUACAGUCGGGUAAGAAACCAGAUUUAGUAGUCGUAUGCAUGUAUUAACCCUCGCGAGUAACAGUAACAUGGUGUCGUUGGUAAAUUCUCUCCGUGGGUUAGAAUUUUUUUUUACCCUAGGAAGAAAUCAAUCCUAAUGUGCCUAGCGCCAUCUGACUGAGACCGGAUGGCUUGGUUUUGCUGUGCUGUACUGCAGUCACGGUGUCCUCUGGAUACUCUGGAUGUAAUCUGUAGACUGUGUAGCCAAGGUAGUAGUAACUCUAAUGAACUUGACUGCACAUCUCUUUCCUACACUAUUGUUCAACCAUGGAUUCUACUACAGUAUUCGUUUUACCUAAGUAAUGUUCUCGGUAGCACAAGGGCAUUAUCUAUUUGUAAGCUUGUGUUUGAUGGAAUGUUGGAAUGAGAUGACAACUAUUGUAUGCCAGGAAAUAGGUAAAAUGAAGCAGAGAUAUUUGUAUGAUUUUUGUGAUGCUGAAAGAGCAAGGCCAUGAUGCUUGAAUGGUUCCAAUCUGGCUAGGAUCAACAACGAAGUGCAAAGCUUCAUAUUCAGUUUUUUUCAUACAUAUUAAUAUUAAUUGUUAGUUGCUUUCGCAGUUUAAGUGUCUACAUGAAGUAAAAAAAAAUCUACCUCUUCUUAAUAAACUGUAUGCAUGUAGAAGCUAAAUUUAAGAUCACCUUUGACAUAAGGACAAGAGGUUGGAUGCUGGUGUGACACAUUCAUGUUGCUCAUACACUAGGAGCGUAUAGAGGCUAGCAAUGUCAUUGUUCUGGCCAUAUUUUACACAUGAUCUUGCUGGUUUACACUCUUAAAUAAGGUAUGUACUAGCUAUCCUAAAUCAUUUCUCCAAUUCUGGACCCGUUUUGGUAUCGUUGAACAUAUCAACGUCCAAUGCAUCAUUCUUUUCUCACAGCACCUAAUGCAAUUCGUUUAUAACAUGCUUUCUUUGUUUUUUCAGCACUAGAAAUGUUCGCGUUGAUUGGUCAUGAGGUUUCAUAUAUGAAGGGGCCCACGAGGCUGGUGAUAUAAAGAAGGGUGGGUUUUAAGAGGAUGUGAGGGAAAGACGAAAAAGUGCAUUUUUAAAAGGAUGUGAGGGAAUUAUGUAUUUAUAGAUAUUUGGUCUGACCUGAGGGAAAGACUAGAGUGCAUUUUAAGGGAACGUGUCACCAUAUGUUGCUAAUAAGUGUUUUGAGUUUUUCUUUAUGUUUUGAGAUGAUUAUUGCAUCGUGGAAAAGGUACAAUGACUAAAGUUGGAAUGAAACCAAAUGGCACAGAGUGGAAUUUAAGAUGUUUGAGUAGUGCA